rnacentral:rRNA from 1 species
GACAGAGGGUGCAAACGUUGUUCGGAAUUACUGGGCGUAAAGCGCGUGUAGGCGGCCCUGUAAGUCGGGUGUGAAAUCCCACGGCUCAACCGUGGAAGUGCACUCGAAACUACAGGGCUAGAGUCCUGGAGAGGAAGGUGGAAUGCUUGGUGUAGAGGUGAAAUUCGUAGAUAUCAAGCGGAACACCGGUGGCGAAGGCGGCCUUCUGGACAGUCGACUGACGCUGAGACGGCGAAAAGCGUGGGGAGCAAACAGG